rnacentral:rRNA from 1 species
UUAAAUUGAAGAGUUUGAUCAUGGCUCAGAUUGAACGCUGGCGGCAGGCCUAACACAUGCAAGUCGAACGGUAACAGUAAGAAGCUUGCUUCUUUGCU